rnacentral:rRNA from 1 species
AAUCAACGCUGGCGGCGUGCCUCAGACAUGCAAGUCGAACGAUUAAGACUCUCUUCGGAGAGUGUAUAAAGUGGCGCACGGGUGAGUAACACGUAGGUAAUGUACCGUAGGGUGGGGAAUAACUUAGGGAAACUUAAGCUAAUACCGCAUAAUGCAGCGGCUCGACAUCGAGACAGUUGUUAAAGGAGUAAUCCGCCUUAUGAGCAGCCUGCGGCAGAUUAGCUAGUUGGUAAGGUAAUGGCUUACCAAGGCUACGAUCUGUAACCGACCUGAGAGGGUGGUCGGUCACACUGACACUGAAUAACGGGUCAGACUCCUACGGGAGGCAGCAGUCGGGAAUUUUGGGCAAUGGGCGAAAGCCUGACCCAGCAACGCCGCGUGAAGGAUGAAGUAUUUCGGUAUGUAAACUUCGUAAGAAUAGGAAGA